rnacentral:rRNA from 1 species
UACGUAGGGGGCUAGCGUUGUCUGGAUUUAUUGGGCGUAAAGAGCGUGUAGGCGGCCAUGUAGGUCCGGUGUGAAAACUCGAGGCUUAACCUCGAGAUGUCAUCGGAAACCAUUUGGCUAGAGUCCGGAAGAGGAGAGUGGAAUUCCUGGUGUAGCGGUGAAAUGCGUAGAUAUCUGGAGGAAUACCGGUGGCGAAGGCGGCAUCCUGGACCGACAUUGACGCUGAGGAGCGAAAGCUAGGGGAGCAAACGGG